AUGAUGCAGAGGAAACUGCAAUAUUUAGUGCUUGGUAUGAAAUACUGUCCGUUUUGCACUUGAUGGCAACACUAUCAUUAUCGCAAGCUAACUUGCUGCUUCUUCCUAGAACAUCUCUUGAUGGUUAUUCACCAAAGGUAUCUGAAGAGAGCAGGCGAUCUUCUGUUGAUAUUUUCCUAAAGGCUGCUGGAUAUCUUGAUUGUGCAGUUCGAAAUGUUCUUCCCCAGUUGCCAGCCGAGCAAAGGAGAAACCUGCCGGUAGACCUCGCUGAAGGAGUUCUGCGAGCAUUGUGCCUCCAAGCAUUAGGGCAGGCUGUUGAUAUUCAACUAGGACUUGCGAUUGACAGUACUAAAGCAACACUAGCUGUCAAAAGAAGGCUUGCUUGUGAGAUGGUAAAAUACUGGCAGCAGGCUCAAGAUAACAUCAUGAACCUUCCAUUAUCAAAUGGUUGGGGAGAAAAGCAUAGGUUUUUCGUGAAGUGGAAAUAUAUUGAAGCCAAGGCUUCAGCAUACUAUUAUCAUGGUCUAAUCCUUGACGAAGGAAAUACGGAAAAAUCUCAUGGAAUGGCAGUAGCUGCCCUGCAAGCAGCUGAUGAGUAUCUGAAAGAAAGUAAGAAGGCAUGUGAAGCUUUCAAUGCAGCCAUUCCUCUCUCCAGAAAUCCUCCACUUUGGGGAACGAUGAAGUAUCUUGCCGAGAAAAUCCCAAAGGACACUUCGAGCAAGGUGCGGAUCAACAGGGAUUUGUACUCUUAUGAAAAGAUCAUGGAGACAGCCCCAACGCUGCCAGACUUUGCGUUGGCUCUCAAACCUGAUGAAUAUCAGCUUCCUCAUGUGGAUGCAUCUUGGGAUGAUGAAACUUACAGGCAAGGGACAGCUUAACCCAAACAAGCUCAAAGGAUGACUUAAUUUGGCUCAUCACAUUUCAGUCUCUGGGAAAUCCAGGCUGGUUGAAAAUGCAGCAUGACUGUCGUCAUAUCUCCAAGCUAUCAAACUCUUGCUAUUCGCCAAAGGUCCCCUCUUUGCUGCUCCUCUAGUUGAAUGUGAUCUCUACUUCUUCGAGUAAAUUUAAUCUUUAUUUCCUUUUUCCUAUUAGAUGUAUAGUCAACCCUGUGAGUGAGUUCUGUACAAGUCGCUUUGCUUUUGUUUGUAAUCUUUGAUCAACAGGAAAAAAGAUGUAUUUCUUUCCCAGCCUACCAAAUAAUUUCUAGUUCCACUUGUCCACCAACAUGAAGCCAGAACCAGUUGUGCAAGUUGUUUGAAAGAAAAUGAUGUUCUA
rnacentral:misc_RNA from 1 species